GUUCUAGCUUCAGCAGCACAUAUACUAAAAUUGAAACAAUUUGGGGAAGAUUAACAUAGCUCCUAGGCAAGGAUGACAUGUAAAUUUGUGAAGCAUUCCAUAUUUUU